rnacentral:rRNA from 1 species
UACGUAGGGUGCGAGCGUUGUCCGGAAUUAUUGGGCGUAAAGAGCUCGUAGGCGGUGUGUCGCGUCGGCCGUGAAAACCUGCAGCUUAACUGUGGGCUUGCGGUCGAUACGGGCAUCGCUGGAGUUCGGCAGGGGAGACUGGAAUUCCUGGUGUAGCGGUGAAAUGCGCAGAUAUCAGGAGGAACACCGGUGGCGAAGGCGGGUCUCUGGGCCGAUACUGACGCUGAGGAGCGAAAGCGUGGGGAGCGAACAGG